rnacentral:rRNA from 1 species
UACGUAGGGUGCAAGCGUUGCCCGGAUUUAUUGGGCGUAAAGGGCGCGUAGGCGGCUCGGCACGUCCGUUGUGAAAUCGCCCGGCUCAACUGGGCGGGGUCAGCGGAUACGGCCGAGCUUGAGCAAGCUAGGGGGCAAUGGAAUUCCCGGUGUAGUGGUGGAAUGCGUAGAUAUCAGGAGGAACACCGAUGGCGAAGGCAGGUCUCUGGGCCACUACUGACGCUGAGAAGCGAAAGCAUGGGGAGCGAACAGG